rnacentral:tRNA from 1 species
GGUGGUUCAGUGGUAGAGCACUUGCCUUGCAUGCAUGAGGCCCUGGGUUCAAUUUUUCAGCACCA